rnacentral:rRNA from 1 species
GCUUAACCGGGGAGGGUCAUUGGAAACUGGGGAACUUGAUUGCAAAAAAAGAAAGUGGAAUUCCCCGUGUAGCGGUGAAAUGCGUAAAAAUGUGGAGGAACCCCAGUGGCGAAGGCAACUCUUUGGUUUGUAACUGACCCUGAAGCCCGAAAGCGUGGGGAGCGAACAGGAUUAAAAACCCUGGUAGUCCACCCCCUAAACAAUGAAUGCUAAGUGUUAAAGGGUUUCCGCCCUUUAGUGCUGCAACAAACGCAUUAAGCACUCCGCCUGGGGAGUACGGUCGCAAGACUGAAACUCAAAGGAAUUGACGGGGGCCCGCACAAGCGGUGGAGCAUGUGGUUUAAUUCGAAGCAACGCGAAAAACCUUACCAGGUCUUGACAUCCUCUGACAACCCUAGAGAUAGGGCUUCCCCUUCGGGGGCAGAGAGACAGGUGGUGCAUGGUUGUCGUCAGCUCGUGUCGUGAGAUGUUGGGUUAAGUCCCGCAACGAGCGCAACCCUUGAUCUUAGUUGCCAGCAUUCUGUUGGGCACUCUAAGGUGACUGCCGGUGACAACCGGAGGAAGGUGGGGAUGACGUCAAAUCAUCAUGCUCCCUUAUGACCUGUGCUACACACGUGCUACAAUGAGACAGAACAAAG